CCUACGGGUGGCUGCAGUGGGGAAUAUUGGACAAUGGGCGAAAGCCUGAUCCAGCCAUGCCGCGUGAGUGAUGAAGGCCUUCGGGUUGUAAAGCUCUUUAGUUGGGGAAGAUAAUGACGGUACCCAAAGAAUAAGUCACGGCAAACUCUGUGCCAGCAGCCGCGGUAAUACAGAGGUGGCGAAUGUUGUUCGGAUUUACUGGGCGUAAAGCGAUUGUAGGCGGUUAGGAAAGUUAGGUGUGAAAGCCCCGGGCUCAACCCGGGAAUUGCACUUAA
rnacentral:rRNA from 1 species